rnacentral:misc_RNA from 1 species
AACAAGGCGUACCUGCGGACCUGCGGAGGGAUCAUUACAGAGUUAUCCAACUCCCAAACCCAUGUGAACUUAUCUCUUUGUUGCCUCGGCGCAAGCUACCCGGGACCUCGCGCCCCGGGCGGCCCGCCGGCGGACAAACCAAAACUCUUGUUAUCUUAGUUGAUUAUCUGAGUGUCUUAUUUAAUAAGUCAAAACUUUUAACAACGGAUCU